rnacentral:rRNA from 1 species
AAAUUGAAGAGUUUGAUCAUGGCUCAGAUUGAACGCUGGCGGCAGGCCUAACACAUGCAAGUCGAACGGUAACAGGAAGCAGCUUGCUGCUUUGCUGACGAGUGGCGGACGGGUGAGUAAUGUCUGGGAAACUGCCUGAUGGAGGGGGAUAACUACUGGAAACGGUGGCUAAUACCGCAUAACGUCGCAAGACCAAAGAGGGGGACCUUCGGGCCUCUUGCCAUCAGAUGUGCCCAGAUGGGAUUAGCUAGUUGGUGAGGUAACGGCUCACCAAGGCGACGAUCCCUAGCUGGUCUGAGAGGAUGACCAGCCACACUGGAACUGAGACACGGUCCAGACUCCUACGGGAGGCAGCAGUGGGGAAUAUUGCACAAUGGGCGCAAGCCUGAUGCAGCCAUGCCGCGUGUAUGAAGAAGGCCUUCGGGUUGUAAAGUACUUUCAGCGGGGAGGAAGGUGUUGUGGUUAAUAACCGCAGCAAUUGACGUUACCCGCAGAAGAAGCACCGGCUAACUCCGUGCCAGCAGCCGCGGUAAUACGGAGGGUGCAAGCGUUAAUCGGAAUUACUGGGCGUAAAGCGCACGCAGGCGGUCUGUCAAGUCGGAUGUGAAAUCCCCGGGCUCAACCUGGGAACUGCAUUCGAAACUGGCAGGCUUGAGUCUUGUAGAGGGGGGUAGAAUUCCAGGUGUAGCGGUGAAAUGCGUAGAGAUCUGGAGGAAUACCGGUGGCGAAGGCGGCCCCCCUGGACAAAAGACUGACGCUCAGGUGCGAAAGCGUGGGGAGCAAACAGGAUUAGAUACCCUGGUAGUCCACGCCGUAAACGAUGUCUACUUGGAGGUUGUGCCCUUGAGGCGUGGCUUCCGGAGCUAACGCGUUAAGUAGACCGCCUGGGGAGUACGGCCGCAAGGUUAAAACUCAAAUGAAUUGACGGGGGCCCGCACAAGCGGUGGAGCAUGUGGUUUAAUUCGAUGCAACGCGAAGAACCUUACCUGGUCUUGACAUCCACAGAAGAAUCCAGAGAUGGAUUUGUGCCUUCGGGAACUGUGAGACAGGUGCUGCAUGGCUGUCGUCAGCUCGUGUUGUGAAAUGUUGGGUUAAGUCCCGCAACGAGCGCAACCCUUAUCCUUUGUUGCCAGCGGUCCGGCCGGGAACUCAAAGGAGACUGCCAGUGAUAAACUGGAGGAAGGUGGGGAUGACGUCAAGUCAUCAUGGCCCUUACGACCAGGGCUACACACGUGCUACAAUGGCGCAUACAAAGAGAAGCGACCUCGCGAGAGCAAGCGGACCUCAUAAAGUGCGUCGUAGUCCGGAUUGGAGUCUGCAACUCGACUCCAUGAAGUCGGAAUCGCUAGUAAUCGUGGAUCAGAAUGCCACGGUGAAUACGUUCCCGGGCCUUGUACACACCGCCCGUCACACCAUGGGAGUGGGUUGCAAAAGAAGUAGGUAGCUUAACCUUCGGGAGGGCGCUUACCACUUUGUGAUUCAUGACUGGGGUGAAGUCGUAACAAGGUAACCGUAGGGGAACCUGCGGUUGGAUCACCUCCUUA